rnacentral:lncRNA from 1 species
GGAGGCUGAAAUCAAAGGGCAUGAGUAAGUGCCCUCCUGCAAGAUGGUGGGGAUGUCUUGUUAGAAGAGGUCGGAAUGGAGGUAGUUUUCUGGAUUGGCGAUGGGGUCGCCAGACCGAAUGUACUUAAUAGGAAUUGCCUCUCCUGAAGAAUGGACAGACACCAUGUUAGAGAAAGAGAGAGAGAAAGAGAGAGAGAGAGAAAGUGUGUGUGUGUGUGUGUGUAUUGGAAUGUGUAUUGUAUUAUGUGCAUUUCUUUUCCUACUUGGAAUGUGUUUUGUAUAUGUGCAUUUCUUUUUCUACUUUCUUACCAUUAUUCAUGAUAAUUCUUUUUUUUUCUACACCUACAUACAUACACACAGAUCAAUGGAAUCUAGUGUUUAACUAAGCUACUGCUGAAUGGAACUGGCAGAACUGAUGGAACCCAUUGCAUGUGAUAGAAGAGAGUGUCAAUGGUGAUAAGUUAGACAAAGCUUGAAAGGAGAAAUGUAGAGUGUCAAUGGUGAUAAGUUCGGCAAAGCUUGAAAGGAGAAAUGCAGGGAAACAGUAAAGGUACGUGUUUUCUUUUCUUUUUUUUCUUUUUUUAAAUAUGAAAUAUGUUUCACCUCAUACAAUGUACUCAACUUAGAAAUCUCAAGAGAUUCAGGGGAACCAAGAGAGCCUAUGUUUUUUGAAAUAUGAAAUAUGUUAACAACUGUGUUUCCUCAAUAGUGAGAAUCUUUAGUUUUAACAAGAAACAUGCCACUGUUUUCUUAUCAUGUCCAGUGGCCAGUGCUUCUUGCAAACCACAGUCAACUAUCGUCAUCUUUUCGAACAACUGAAAGAUAAAUAUACGUUCCAAAUAUUGUAGUGUAGGAGUUUAUACAUUACACAAACCAACUAAUUUGGAUGUAUGAGGUACAGGAAUAUUGGUCUUUCCAGGGUUCUCUUCUGCCCAACAAGUGAUAUGCAUAUCUGCAGGUAAGAAAAAUUCCUGCACCUCCCUCUCUCUCUCUCUUCCUCUACUGGUACGUACGGAGACGAAGGCCAACUACCGNGGGGUAAAUGGGNNNNNNNNNNNNNNNNNNNNGUUACGUUACGUUACGUACGUACGUACGUACGUACGUAGUAGUACGUAUACGUACUACGUACGUAACGUAACGUAACGUACUACUCCUCCUCCUCCUCUCUCUCUCUCUCUCUCUCUCUCUCUCUCUCUCUCUCUCUCUCCUCCUCCUCCUCCUCCUCCUCCUCCUCCUCCUCCUCCUCCUCCUCUCUCUCUCUCUCUCUCUCUCUCUCUCUCUCUCUCUCUGCAUAUUGUGCGUGUGCAUGUGUGACUUAAACAUCAAACAACAGAAUAAACUGAGGGAACAUUUAGCAAAUGCUUCUUACACUGUCUGAAAACUGUGGACUCGGAAUACCAUCAGCGAAUGACCGAAAAAAUGGGAUCAUUCGAAGAGGAGAUGAGAACUCCACAUUCACUGAGAAACACGAGAACUUUCCAUCUUCAUUUGGCUGGAUGCAAGAUGAUAAUAGCCCCUCUGCAUCAAAAACCAAGACUCAAUCCAAUGCCAAUCCCAACAAAGCCAGACAAAACCAUAAAAAAAGAGGGGGGUCAUGCCUGUAGAAUAACCAUCUUCAAUUCCUUGAAUCUCUUCUUCAUUUUUCUCCCCAAUGCAAUCAUCUGUGUUUUCUUCCUUGUUAAAGGCUACGCAUUCUUCUGUUUGUCUUUGAUCUAUUUUGGUUAUUUCUGCAUUAGACUGGGGAUUUGAGAUGGCACUGUCUCCAGAAUUUGCUGAUAGGUCCUCAUACAAUUCAGAUUGCCUAUGCAAUGAAACCGACCAUAUUUUGUCACCAUCUUGGGCUGUCAAAUUACUAUAGCUUCUUGAAUAAUAAUUGGCUUAUUACCUCAAUGGAAAAGGGCUCCCUGUUUGACUGCUUUUCAAAUCUGUAAUCAAGUUUUUGAAGUCUUCAAAUAGUGGAUCAAGACCGGCAACUUUGUGUCUCAAAAUAUCUGAAUCUCCACUCUGAGCUAAGAACUCCUGGAGUUCCUGUAGUUCACAGAACAUUAAAUAUGAGGUACAAAUUUAAGAAAAAUGUUUAUUCAAAUUAAAGAAUAUUUUUUGAAAUUAAGUUCUUUUAGUAAAUAUUAUUGUUUCUAAUGUAAAGUGAGCAGCUUAGGGUCCAUUUGAUUGUCAAAUUAGAUCCAAGGAGUUUUUUUUUUUUUUUUCUCAAUUUAUAUUUGACCAAAUCAUAUUUUGGUGAAUUUUCAUUUCCUGCUUACAGGUGUGUGAUUGUCCCAAUUUGAAUUGCAAUUUUUUAUUGUGCGGUGCAAUGGUUAGGUGUGGCCAUGUGCAACGGAGGUGGUAGUGGUGGAGUGGUGGUGUUGGUGGUGGCAGCAGUGGAAUGGUGGUGGUUGUGGCUGGAUCGUGGUGGUUAUGGCAGUGCGGUGGUGGUCGUGGCAGUGCACUGGUGUUGGUGGCGAUAUGGGUGGCAAUGGUGGUGGGGUUUUGGUAAAGAGAGAGACAAUUGAUGCAAAAACCACUCCUAGUGGUUUUUCCACAGAUGACAAUUGGGGGUCGAAAAAUCAAUUGCAAUUUCAAAAUCUAACAGACCUACAGGGUCACAUUGUAAUUGGCCAGAUUUGUAAUUUGGUCCAAGUUACAAUUUGGCCUCAAUUUGGCUAGAAAUGAAAUGCGCCCUUAGUAUGUGGUUAUGGCCUUAAUGUGAGACCAAACUGAGAACAUGGAUCAGAAAUGCUUUACGAUAUUUGCAUUUGCUC